UUCUUGAAUAUAUGUAAAUAAUACACAGGCAAGUGCCUGUGAAAUAAUAGGUGAAAUAUUAUAAUUUUAUUUCAAUAAUAAUCGAAUUUAUUAAAUAUCUUGAUCGAUUUAUUUGCGUACGUACUUAGUGACAAAUGACCCCCUUUUUUCUCAUAAGACUUGUACACGUAUUUCAAACAUGUUGUCAAGCUAUGUCGUUUUAUUUUCUCUUAUUUGUUAACUGUUCAGUAAGCAGUAAACUAAAAUCCUUUUGAACUAAAGAUAUUUUUAAAAAUUAUUUGUGGUCGACAAUAUUCUACUUUCGUUAUUGACCUUCAUUCUCUGGACACCACGUGGUCGUGGGCUUUGAAAUGUGAACUACAAAAGGUGCUAUUUUCCAGAUUCUUGACAACAUUAUAUAUAUUAUACUUUCUUUUAUUUGACUGAUAUAUUUUCAUAACAUGCUAUUGUCAUCUUUGGCUUAUUCCUUCUCUUGAAGCCAAAACCAAACAGGGUCAUAAUGUCCAUCGGAACGUCUCUCUUUUUAUCC
rnacentral:lncRNA from 1 species